rnacentral:rRNA from 1 species
UGGGGAAUAUUGCACAAUGGGCGCAAGCCUGAUGCAGCCAUGCCGCGUGUGUGAAGAAGGCCUUCGGGUUGUAAAGCACUUUCAGCGGGGAGGAAGGCGAUAAGGUUAAUAACCUUGUCGAUUGACGUUACCCGCAGAAGAAGCACCGGCUAACUCCGUGCCAGCAGCCGCGGUAAUACGGAGGGUGCAAGCGUUAAUCGGAAUUACUGGGCGUAAAGCGCACGCAGGCGGUCUGUCAAGUCGGAUGUGAAAUCCCCGGGCUCAACCUGGGAACAGCAUUGGAAACGGGCAGGAUAGAGUCUUGUGGAGGGGAGUAGAAUUCCAGAUGUAGCGGUGAAAUGCGUAGAGAUCUGGAAGAAUACCGGUGGCGAAGGCAGACCCCUAGACAAAGACUGACACUCAGGUGCGAAAGCGUGGGGAGCAAACAGG